rnacentral:lncRNA from 1 species
AGGAAGCAACAAGAAGGUUGGUGGGAGAGAUGAGUUAUGAGCCAGGUUCUAAAGAGAAGAAUGCUCACUGUUGCUCAUUUAUAAAACAAUCAGUUCUGGUAUAUUUUAGGUAUAUAGUUGAUUCUAGGCUUUGAAUCUAAGGUUUGUAUUUUCUUCACACGGCUGAUUUUAAAUUAUAUGAGAAUGUAGCAGAAACUAGAAGUGUAUUUUAAAACUGAUUUUGGUGGUAGAACAGUUAGCUUAAAAAUACCAGUUAAAUAAAAUUUAAUUUCAAACACACGAAUGAUGAAAUACACAUAUCCCAGAAGUUUGUUUAGGGAUAAGAUCAGCGAACUUUUAAUGGUUCAAUUCAAUUUUUGUGUUCAGUUUACAUAUAUGUUUUUCUCUCAUAUUUGUUUUUACUCAUAUUUUGUGUUACCCAAGUUGAUGUGUUCUCAAAAAUCUAACCUUCCUAGGGCCUAGAGCAUUUCUUUGGUGCUGCCC